CUCUGAUGUACCACCAAAAGAUAUCUGACCCUUUAGCCAGUUUGAGAACAGCUGUUCUGAAGGACUCAUAUGUAGAAAUGAAGACUUUACAGUACAUUUUUAUCUAAUAUAGACCAUUAAUUGGGAUGGGGCUUUGAGCAGAGGAUUGACUUUGUUCAUCAUUUUAAAAUAUUCCAAAGUCAAUAAUUUGUACAAGACCAACUCAUUUGAUACUGAGCUAUAGAAAUAGCCUCUGUCUGCAUUAGAUUACAGUCAAGUUUGGCAGGAUAAUUUUUGUUUGUUUGUUUUGCUAUAAAGGCUCAUUAAUGAGGAAUACUGCCAGUAGGUUUAAUAGCUGUGUCUUAUCUAACCUGUUAAUGAACUGUGUAUAUUUAUGUGGCCUGAUAUCAACAAUCAUAGUAUAGAGACUGUUUUUGGUACAGGAAAGGCCUGCCUUCAGCAAGCAAGCCUCGCUCUCUGCGAUAGGUCUGCUGCUGUUGUUUUGUGCCUAGACUAGAUUCUUAAAAAGUAUAGUUUUUAAAAUUGCUUUAUCUCUUGCAGGGGAAAAUUUGUUAGUUCAUUGAUUUUGCAUGUCAUAAAAGCAGCAUGAUGGUUAUUACUAUUACACAUCUAACAAGAUUCAGGAAAAAAAAAAACCUUGGCCUUUUCAUACCUCCCAAGUAUGUCAUACUUUAAAUAUGUAUAGUACUUCCUUCUGAAUAAUGACAUGAGUAGUAUGCCUGGAGUGUGGAUAUGAGUAUGGGAUUAUCAGAUGGCUGUCAAAUGUUUGAGCAUCAAUAAAUGAGACUACAGAGGAAGUGUAGAUGUGGACCAAGUCUUGAGGAAGGUCAUAAUCAAGCACUGUUUAAUAUAUAUUCUCAGAAUUCUUAAACUCAAGAAAUUUAAUUUUGUUUGGUACUCCUUUCCUUAUUUCACAUCUAAAGUGAACCGAGAGAAAUAACAUGAUUUUACAAAGUACUGUAGCAUAUGUAUAGUUUCUGACUUCUGGAAUUGCAUCAUUUUACAAUGGGCUCAAACUUUAGCUUUUGAAAUUCUGAAAAGUUUUAAAGGAUUUUGGACCCUAACGCAUAACAUGAUUUUAAAAUUGUGAAUCCAUAUACUUGAGAUAUUUGACUGGAUUCUGCCUCUUUUAAAACUAAUUCUAUACCUGAAUGGAGAGGGAGGAAGAUUCUUCAGUUUAUCUAGAUGAUUUAGAAUGAAAUUACUGACCUCAUCCUUCUUCAGUUCAGGUAAACUUUAUUGUUCCUUUUCUUUUUUUAUAAGCCAUUCUUAAACCAUUCUUAAAUUACUGCUGAAAAAAAAUCAUCAUGACUUUGCAGAUACAAUUAUAAAGAAAGUGAUGUCUUAUACACAGAAGUGGAAAUAACUUUUAAUUUUCCCAUUACUUUGGGUUUGUCCAAAAGUUAACACCAAAGAAUUAUACAGUCUGCUUUGCUUAACUGUCCAUUCUUUAAGAAAUAAUUUUUUAAAAAUCACAUAUAAGCAGGGCAGGGGUAUAGAUAUAUAUAGAAAGA
rnacentral:lncRNA from 1 species